AUGGAUAAACUUUUCAUUGGUAAACUUUUCAUUGGUAAACUUUUCAUUGAUAAACUUUUCAUUGGUAAACUUUUCAUUGGUAAACUUUUCAUGGGCAAACAUUUCAUUCGUAAACUUUUCAUAGAUAAACUUUUCAUUGGUAAACUUUUCAUUGGUAAACUUUUAAUUGGUAAACUUUUCAUUGGUAAACUUUU